AGUACUGACGAGUCCCAAAUAGGACGAAAUGCACGUCGUGGAU
rnacentral:hammerhead_ribozyme from 1 species